rnacentral:rRNA from 1 species
GAGUAACGCAAGGAAUCUGCCCGGUAGUGGGGGUCAACCUGGGGAAACUCAGGCUAAUACCGCAUACGCCCUACGGGGGAAAGCAGGGGCUCUUCGGACCUUGCGCUAUUGGAUGAGCUUAUGUCGGAUUAGCUGGUUGGUGAGGUAACGGCUCACCAAGGCGACGAUCCGUAGCUGGUCUGAGAGGAUGAUCAGCCACACCGGGACUGAGACACGGCCCGAACUCCUACGGGAGGCAGCAGUGGGGAAUAUUGGACAAUGGGGGCAACCCUGAUCCAGCCAUGCCGCGUGUGUGAAGAAGGCCUUCGGGUUGUAAAGCACUUUCAGCGAGGAAGAAAGCUUGUCGGUUAAUACCCGGCAUGGUUGACAUUACUUGCAGAAGAAGCACCGGCUAACUCCG